GGAUGUAAAACCCAUCUCUCUACCUCCAUGUGGUCCCCCCUGGAUAAACUGAUGUCUAAAUUACAUCAGUUUAACUAAAAGAGAG
rnacentral:ribozyme from 1 species